CAAGCAUUGUAAGCUAAUAAAUUUACUAUCGACUGCACAGUCCCAACAAUAUGCAAAAUUAUUAACAUGACACAUGGCUGCAUAGGAAAAGAGACUAUUUAAUUAUGCAGGAUAAAGAUGGCCUCAGAUACAGUUUGUAUCAAAAACAAACAAUGUGGGAAGCAUUUUUCCUCCGUUUGAAAAACCAAUAAGUCUAUUUAUUUAACUUUAAUGGUUAGUUGCAUUUUAUUAUUUGCAUUAAGCACUGUCCUUCCCUCCUGUGACCCAGUCAGAACAGACCUGCAACCCAUUUGGGGUCAUGACUCACCAAUUGCAUUGCAUGACACAGUUUUGCAUGCAAAAUUAAGUAAAAUGUGAAUGUUUAUUUAUUUAUUUUUAUUUUUUACAUUUUUAAUGAUUAUGCAAAUUUCAAUCAUUUUAUCAAAGAGAACAGAAUGUUCUAAUGUGAAACAAACAAACUCUUACUAAUACUUGUUGACAUUUGUGCUGUUGGUUUCCCUCCAAAAUACUAGGUAUUAAAAUUUUUUUUUUUUUUUUUUUAAGUCAAUUACAACAAUAAAUUUAGGAAAAAAACAACAGUAUACUUUUUUUUUUUUUUUUAAGCUAAUUACAACAAUAAUUUGGAAAAAAACAACAGAUCUGUGACUCAUUUUGGGGUCUCGACUCACAUAUAAAAGUUUUGCAUGCAUAAUUAAGUCACAUAGAUUAUGUUUUACAGAGUGACUUAAAAAUAAAUAAAACUCAAACAGGAAAAUGAAUAAAAAUAGGUAGACUGAAAGAAAUGCGAAUGUUUGAGGAAGGCCAGAGCCACGAGACCUGAACCCUGUACCUAUGCUGACCUAACUUUUGCCUGCGUGUAAACUCAAUCCACGGCCGUGCAAAGCCAGUGAGUGGACGUGUGUGGAGAAAAGGGGGGUAUCAGCAAAUAAAGCUCAGAACAGCAGUAUGGCGCUCUUUCCCAGCCACUAAGCUAAGCCAUGAAUUAUAGAUGCCUCCUGAGGAUUUUCUCUUUCCGCUCCUUCUUCCGUCUUUUCUUUUUAAAGGACAGAAAGGGAUAGAAAAAACAACAACAAUACACAGAUAAAACAAAUAGAUAUGCUACAAGCCUAUUUGGACUGUUAUGUUGAAGAGGGAUGUGCUCACAAACAUCCUAGAAAUGUUGUUAGAAGCAUUUAUGUGGUUUCCAGAUCAUAUGAGAUUUGUUACAGGCAGGUGUCAUAAAAACUCUCACUGAUUGUCAACAUUUAUCCCAUACUAACCAAAAAAGCUUCCUGUUUCCAAACAGGCCUAUCAAAAGCCACAUUAACAGACAUGAAAAAAGGGAAAAGAGACAAUAAAUCGUGAAAAUAGCGAGUGCGGGGUGAUGUAAUGCUGUCUUACUCUAAAUGAAUAAAUUAUGCGCCUGAAAUUUCAUCGUCAUAGUAACUGCCCCAUUUCUGUUGCACGCACACUCACUCGAAUGCAGGUCAGCGAUAAAAUCCAAAAUGUACGGCUUAAUUGCCAUUAUCUGUGUUUCUGAUUGCAAAUAAGUGUUAGUAGAAGCAUGCAUGCAUAUGUGUGUGUGUGUGGGAGAGAGUCGGCGAUGGAUGGAGUCUUUGUCCAUGCGUAAGAGAGUGUGUGUGUGUCUCUGAAGGACAUAAAACAAAAUGCCCUGGACCGCUGGGACCUGUAGUUCGUAAUUGCACGGGUGGCAUUUUAGCGAUUCUUGCCGCACGGGGGUCAAUUUUUCCCCAGGUCACUGACAGUGACAUCAUCAAACCGCUAUUAACUCGGCAAACAAUUUCAACUCGGUAUCGAUAACAGACCGUAUCAAACACGCACGGAACUGGCCAAAAUCUGCCCUCAAUCUAAACCCUUCACCUUACAGCCCACCAAACACUACCACAUCCCUACAGACACAAAAAAGAAACAACAGUCUCCUCUGUGAAGAGAGAGAGAGAGAGAAUAAAAAGCAGUUGGAACAGAGGAAUGGAGAUAUCAGAGGAAGGAAACACACUUCACCAUCUGAAGAUUUCAGAUGAGACACAUCUCAUGCACAAAUGCCCAUACAGUGGAUUUGGACACUUAAGCCAUGCUUAAAUAUGUAUGAAUGUCAUCGCUUUAGAUUCUGGUUCUCAGCUGCUUUUGCUUCAGGACCCAGAUUCUGUGGCAACCAAAGAGUAUCAAAUCUGUAACCUGUAUUUAAUGUAGUCUGGGUCAUACAAAAGUUUUGGCUGGUAAGAUUUUUUUAAAGGAAGUCUCUUCUGCCAAGGCUGCAGUGGCGUGCACAUACCUACAGAGGGGCAGAGGUGUAUUGAGGUCCCCCUUAGUAGAAAAUUGCAGACUGGGGGCACCUAGAUCAGAACAAAAGGGCAUUUUACUGUUAAAGGGGCAGGGGCUCAUUUUUAAAUGUAGUUUAUUUCUGUGAUCAAAGCUGAAUUUUCAGCAUCAUUACUCCAGUCUUCAGUGUCACAUGAUCUUCAGAAAUGAUUCUAAUAUGCUGAUUCUCAAGAAACAUUUCUGAUUAUUAUCAAUGUUGAAAAUAGUUGUGCUGAUUAUUAUUUUUGUGAAAACCGUGGUUUUGUUCAUGACUUUCGAAGAUAGAAAGUUUUUUCAUGCAAUAAAAAUUUGAAUCCAAAAUAUGAACCGUCACAUUUUUUAAAGAACAGGAUUUUAACUUUCUGUAACUCUCACAAAUGUUCAUGCAAAUAAAAUCAUUUUACACUUCGAUGAAUUAGAUAUGAAACAUGAGAUGCUUCUCAUGCCUAUUUUACUGGAUCAACCCUCAACGGAGGCCCUGAGCUAAUUAUAUCAGUGAUAAUAAUGAGCUUCAUUCCUAAAGCACUGUUCACACCUUAUGCAAAGGGCUCUGUAAUGGAAACUGUAGACAAAGACAUAAAGCAGAGAGGUUUGUCAUGGGUUUGAGAGCUCUGUCCUGGUCCUACAGGGUGAACUGUUCUCUA
rnacentral:lncRNA from 1 species